rnacentral:tRNA from 1 species
GGCCUUGUAACAUAAUGGUAAUGUAAAGAAUUGCAAAUUCUUUAAUAACGAUUCAAAUUCGUUCUUGGCUU